GGGAGUAUAGCUCAGUGGUAGAGCACAAGCUUAACAUGCACAAGGUCCUGGGUUCAUCAAUCCCUGGUACGUCCA
rnacentral:tRNA from 1 species